rnacentral:rRNA from 1 species
UACGGAGGAUGCAAGCGUUAUCCGGAUUCAUUGGGUUUAAAGGGUGCGUAGGCUGGCCAAUAAGUCAGAGGUGAAAAGCAUAGGCUUAACUUAUGCACUGCCUUUGAUACUGUUUGUCUGGAGUGAAGUUGGAGUGGGCGGAAUGUGUUAUGUAGCGGUGAAAUGCUUAGAUAUAACACAGAACACCGAUAGCGAAGGCAGCUAACCAAGAUGCAACAGACGCUGAGGCACGAAAGCGUGGGGAUCAAACAGG